rnacentral:rRNA from 1 species
CCAUAGAAUGUAAAUAUAUGUCCUCGCCUUAAAAAGCGUUGAUAAACUUAUACAACCUUUCAACAACGGAUCUCUUGGCUCUCGCAUCGAUGAAGAACGCAGCGAAAUGCGAUAAGUAAUGUGAAUUGCAGAUUUUCAGUGAAUCAUCGAAUCUUUGAACGCACCUUGCGCUCCUUGGUAUUCCGAGGAGCAUGCCUGUUUGAGUGUCAUUAAAUUCUCAACUCUGAUCGAUUUGUUUCGACUUCGGAGCUUGGAUUUGGAGCGUGCUGGCGUCGGUCGGCUCCUCUUAAAUGCAUCAGCGGAAUCUAACGUUUCGGACGUCAGUGUGAUAAUCAUGUUGGCGCUGUCUGUCUGAUCUGAAAGCCCGCUCACAAUGGUCUUCGGACAACUUCAUAUCAAAUUUGACCUCAAAUCAGGUAGGACUACCCGCUGAACUUAAGCAUAUCAAUAAGCGGAGGA